GAUAGAUCCAGCUUGCUGGAUCGAAAAGUGGCGCACGGGUGCGUAACGCGUAUGCAACCUACCUUAAUCAGGGGGAUAGCCCGAAGAAAUUCGGAUUAACACCGCAUAAAAACACAGUACAGCAUUGUACAAUGUUCAAAUAUUAAUAGGAUCAAGAUGGGCAUGCGUGACAUUAGUUAGUUGGCGGGGUAACGGCCCACCAAGACCACGAUGUCUAGGGGAUCUGAGAGGAUGACCCCCCACACUGGUACUGAGACACGGACCAGACUCCUACGGGAGGCAGCAGUAAGGAAUAUUGGUCAAUGGAGGCAACUCUGAACCAGCCAUGCCGCGUGCAGGAAGACAGCCCUCUGGGUCGUAAACUGCUUUUAUUCGGGAAUAAACCUAUCUACGUGUAGAUAGCUGAAUGUACCGAAGGAAUAAGGAUCGGCUAACUCCGUGCCAGCAGCCGCGGUAAUACGGAGGAUCCAAGCGUUAUCCGGAUUUAUUGGGUUUAAAGGGUGCGUAGGCGGCUUUUUAAGUCAGGGGUGAAAGACGUUAGCUCAACUAACGCAGUGCCUUUGAUACUGAAGAGCUUGAAUGGACUAGAGGUAGGCGGAAUGUGACAAGUAGCGGUGAAAUGCAUAGAUAUGUCACAGAACACCGAUUGCGAAGGCAGCUUACUAUGGUUUAAUUGACGCUGAGGCACGAAAGCGUGGGGAUCAAACAGGAUUAGAUACCCUGGUAGUCCACGCCCUAAACGAUGAAUACUCGCUGUUAGCGAUACACAGUUAGCGGCUAAGCGAAAGCGUUAAGUAUUCCACCUGGGGAGUACGGUCGCAAGAUUGAAACUCAAAGGAAUUGACGGGGGCCCGCACAAGCGGAGGAAGMAUUGUUGGU
rnacentral:rRNA from 1 species